UGUCAGAAUUAAAUUGAAUUGUAGGACACCUGCUGCUGUCCACAGAAAAUGGCUUAGUGUGGGGGAAAAAACCCCACACAUUUGGUCCUCUUAUCACUGAUAAGUACUUUCUCUCCUGCAAGAGCACUCCAAUUCCAUGGGAGAUCGGGGAUGGGAGAAGAUAAACCCCAAUCUUGGAGAAAUCAGCAAUCUACUACAUGCCAGAUGGAGAUGCCUUAGUUAGCAAAACUCAGGCAGCAAAGCUGCUUCGUGGAAUCAAUUCUAGAGAGAGUGAGGCAGGCAAUGGAC